AGAGUUUGAUCCUGGCUCAGAUUGAACGCUGGCGGCAUGCCUAACACAUGCAAGUCGAACGGAAACGAUGGGAGCUUGCUCCCAGGCGUCGAGUGGCGGACGGGUGAGUAAUGCUUAGGAAUCUGCCCAGUAGUGGGGGACAACCAGGAGAAAUUCUGGCUAAUACCGCAUACGCACUACGGUGGAAAGUGGGGGACCUUCGGGCCUCACGCUAUUGGAUGAGCCUAAGUCGGAUUAGCUUGUUGGUAGGGUAAUGGCCUACCAAGGCGACGAUCCGUAGCUGGUCUGAGAGGACGAUCAGCCACACUGGGACUGAGACACGGCCCAGACUCCUACGGGAGGCAGCAGUGGGGAAUAUUGGACAAUGGGCGCAAGCCUGAUCCAGCAAUGCCGCGUGUGUGAAGAAGGCCUGCGGGUUGUGUAAAGCACUUUCAGUAGAGAAGAAAAGCUUAGGGUUAAUAACCCUGAGUCUUGACGUAACCUACAGAAGAAGCACCGGCUAACUCCGUGCCAGCAGCCGCGGUAAUACGGAGGGUGCGAGCGUUAAUCGGAAUUACUGGGCGUAAAGCGCGCGUAGGCGGCUUGGUCAGUCGGAUGUGAAAGCCCCGGGCUUAACCUGGGAAUUGCAUUCGAUACUGCCUGGCUGGAGUGUAGUAGAGGGAAGCGGAAUUCCGGGUGUAGCGGUGAAAUGCGUAGAGAUCCGGAGGAACAUCAGUGGCGAAGGCGACCUUCUGGGCUGACACUGACGCUCAUGUACGAAAGCGUGGGGAGCAAACAGGAUUAGAUACCCUGGUAGUCCACGCCGUAAACGAUGUCAACUAGCUGUUGGGGGGAUCUGCCUCUUAGUAGCGUAGCUAACGCGAUAAGUUGACCGCCUGGGGAGUACGGCCGCAAGGCUAAAACUCAAAUGAAUUGACGGGGGCCCGCACAAGCGGUGGAGCAUGUGGUUUAAUUCGAUGCAACGCGAAAAACCUUACCUGCCCUUGACAUGCAGCGAACUUUCCAAACUUGGGGGUCAGCUUGGCUGGAUCGGUGACAGGUGCUGCAUGGCUGUCGUCAGCUCGUGUCGUGAGAUGUUGGGUUAAGUCCCGCAACGAGCGCAACCCUUGUCCUUAGUUGCCAUCAUUUAGUUGGGCACUCUAGGGAGACUGCCGGUUUAAACCGAGGAAAAGGUGGGGACUACGUCAAGUCAUCAUGGCCCUUAUGUCCAGGGCUACACACGUGCUACAAUGGCCGGUACAAAGGGCAGCAAUACCGCGAGGUGGAGCGAAUCCCAAAAAGCCGGUCUCAGUUCGGAUUGGAGUCUGCAACUCGACUCCAUGAAGUUGGAAUCGCUAGUAAUCGCGUAUCAGCGUGACGCGGUGAAUACGUUCCCGGGCCUUGUACACACCGCCCGUCACACCACGGGAGUGGGUUGCAAAAGAAGUAAGUAGCUUAACCUUCGGGAUGGCGCUUACCACUUUGUGAUUCAUGACUGGGGUGAAGUCGUAACAAGGUAGCC
rnacentral:rRNA from 1 species